rnacentral:tRNA from 1 species
GGAGAGGUGUCCGAGUGGCUUAAGGAGCACGCUUGGAAAGCGUGUGUGCCCAAAAGGUACCAGGGGUUCGAAUCCCCUCCUCUCCGCCA